UAAUAAUAAUAAUAAUACUCAAAUAUAAUAUUACCACAACAUAUACUGCAGCUGCGUUACACAGCAGAAAUGAGUAUACACACAAAUAAUCCUUAUAAUUACUUCAAUUGUAAAAAACACAAAUAAAUAAAUCAAAUAAAUAAGACAAAUUUCACAUCUCAACAUUUUUAAAAUGGAUUUAUUGUAGAUAUCUAAAUAAAAAAAAGGUGUUUUUAAAUUGGUACAGUACAUCCAUUUAAUAGCUUUUCUUUCAAUCUUAGAGCACUCAGAAAUAGCACUUUGAAAAUCUGAAAUGCUGAAGAUCAUGUGAUAUGACUGAAAGGCCUAGAACAGAUAUUAAAUGGACCUUGUGGUGGGACUGUUUUGUCAGCAAUAAUGUUUUUCUCCAUACACUGCAAUCUUUCAGCAAUAUGUUAUAUUAUCAUUUUAAUACACUAUGGAUCUUCAUUACCGUUACUAUGUCUGUGGUACAAUUGUUGCUUUUAUCUCAUACAAUCUGAAUGCCUUUACUCACAGACGGCUACAAACACAAUCCUAUUCUCUAGAAAUAUGUGAAAAAUCUUGAUGCAAGACCUACAGGGAACACAUGUCACCCAAUGGGGGUGGUUUACUGGCACAUGUUUUCUACACUUUCCCCCUCCCUUACUUUCCCACAGCAUUCAUUCUUUGGAAAUAACUUCAACAAUUCCUGGAAAUAAUGAAAGUAGCAAUGUGCUGUACACACCGGGCAGGGGGAGUAACAAGGACCCUUUAUACCCUUAUAUCUUAUAGAUACUCUUGAGAUUAUAGAAUAUCUAAAAGGAUCAUUGAUCUUUUUAAACACAUAAAUCAACUCCAUUCAACAUAGUUUCAUUCCAUUUUUCCCCCAGGCCCCACAUGCAGUGGCUUUAUGUUCCACCAGUGGGGCCUGCUGCACAGUUUGAGAACACCACCUUACUCUGCUUUGGACCAGGGCCCUGAAAGAGUCUCCUCAGGAGAACAUCUGCAGAGCAUUUUGAAAACCAAGAAUACCUGCUUCACAAACUUGAGAUGUUUUUGCUUGUAUAUCAACAAUGUGCUACUGAAACACCAUGCUUUAAUGAUAGUGAUGUACGUGUAAUUCUUGUAUAAAGAUUCUCCAUUUGACUGUUGAAUCAUCCUUCAUAGUCAUUCAGAGUAAACACAGCUGGAGCAGUGCUGAUGUGCCCCAGAGGGCACAAAAACAAUGGGAACUGGUGCUGGAACAAAGUGCUUAUACAACUUCCUAUCUACAGAUACUGAAGUUCAACAUGUUCAGCAUGGACACACGGACACACACUUACACCUCCCAUAAACAUACAAAAGUUUUAGGGAUACCACUCUCAUAUCUGUGGUAAACAUGAUGCUAUAGCCAGCAACUGCUUAGCUUAGGUUAACAAAAUGCACCUCCCAGCCCCUCUAAUGCUCACUAACUACCAUGUUAUAUCUUGUUUGUUUAAGCUAUAUGUGUCUGUGAGUAAAUAAAUAAAGAACAUCAAUAAGUGAGACAAGAAAGGAAACAAUGUGACAGACAUUUGUA
rnacentral:lncRNA from 15 species